rnacentral:rRNA from 1 species
UACGUAGGGCGCAAGCGUUAUCCGGAAUUAUUGGGCGUAAAGAGCUCGUAGGCGGUUUGUCGCGUCUGCCGUGAAAGUCCGGGGCUCAACUCCGGAUCUGCGGUGGGUACGGGCAGACUAGAGUGAUGUAGGGGAGACUGGAAUUCCUGGUGUAGCGGUGAAAUGCGCAGAUAUCAGGAGGAACACCGAUGGCGAAGGCAGGUCUCUGGGCAACUACUGACGCUGAGGAGCGAAAGCGUGGGGAGCGAACAGG